UUUUUUACACAUAAUUAGCAUUUAAAUCUCUUUCCUACAGUCUCAUGCCCUCCCUCCAUCGCUCUCUCUCGCCUCUCUUACUCCAGCAGACUCUACAUGUCUCAGUCGCUAAGGCAACCGAUGCUUUUUUUUUUCUUCUCACUUGCUCUCUGUAUCUCCCCGUUUCUCUCGGUCUCCCUCGCUCAUUCCCUCUCUCCACUGCCAGAGGUAGGCAUGAUAACUGAUAUGUGUCGGAGUGUGUCUGUGUUUGUGUCCGUCUCCCGGUGUGCUCGUGUGUCUCUGAAGUGACAUUUCUGUGGCAUUUAGGAAGCAGUUGUGGAACGGGAAGUUGCCUCUCUGCUCAAAGUGCCAUAUAGAGUAUUGGCUCCUUGCAUGAUGCUUCUAAUGAUGAUGAAUGUUCUGUGCUCAGGUGUGUGUGCACUGUAAACGUGUGUGAGAGAGCAGCACAGACUACGAGUGUGUACUUCUGGGUGUUUUUGACUGCAGAUGUGGAUUCUGUAGAAACAUGUGGCGCAUAAUUGAGCGUUAAAUUUAAAAGCCCAGAGGAGUCUGAGAAUGUUUUUUUUUUUUUUUUUUUUUUUUAUAUAAAAGAUGACAGUUGGAUUUCUGCCAAUACUCCUGCUGGUGUCUAUGUUUACAUGUUCUUUUUUAUCUGGCAACAUAAAAGAAGAAGAAAAAAAAAAAGCUGGACCCUCCCCCUCCCUCUCCCUCUCUCCCCCUCCCUCUCUCUCCCUCCCUUGCCCCUCUGUCCUAUCUUACAGAGAGAGAUGAUCGGAGGAGCGGAGUCUCAGUGAACAGAGCGAAGCGAUGGAGAGAUGGUAAGACGGAUAGGAGCUGAGGUGAAGGGGAGAUGUAUGGGGUGCAGAUGCAGUAAAUGUCCUACUGAGUGAUUGCUGGCACAAGAAUCCAUUUGUGAGCUGAUGAGGUCGUGCAGGACGCCUGUGGACAACACAUUUUCUCAGAUAACUUCUUUGUCACUCCACCACUUCUCAUUCUUUCUCCUCCACUUUUCUUGCAGCUCCAUCUCUCCUGUCGCACGACUGACUGCCCUCGUCUCCCUCCUGCUGGUUGCUCUGGUGACACAGCCCUCCACCUGUAACCGUGACGACAGCGAGGGCGAGGAGCAGGUGGACGCCCUGUCGGUCCAGCUGUCCGUCACGGCCCAGGUCACACCCACCCCUCUGUGGGCGGUGGUCUGGGGUCCCACGCAGCCUCUGGAGGACGAGACCUACCACUUCCUCUCCAGCCAGGAAACGGAUCCCCUGCAUCGGCACGGGAACCAUCAGGAGGCGAGCACCGCCGCGUCAGACUGGCCUGCGAGCAUGCAGCCCCGAGAGGAGGCUCCGCUGGAGUCGAAGGACCGGGGGGGAGUGGAGGAUGCAGGGACGGAGGCGGAGGAGACGGAGCCUGAGGAAGUGGACCCUCAGUUCUACGUCACCGUGACCAUCUCCUCGCUGCUCAUCCUGACGGCAGUCGUGAUUACAGCCAAACUCUGGAUCCCAGUUGUGAACCUCUGAGUGACUGUUUUUCCAUAUGGUAAACAUAUCUACGGGGCCUGAGGAGGAGCAUCAACACGACCGGAGGGUGCGCCCGCAGCGCCGUUUUAUUUUCCUGAAACUGUGAAAUAAAUCCAGGGGUCCCAGAUAUCCAGCCAUCACAGAAACUCCUCGACUUCCCCGAGGUGUAACAAACCCAAACAUCUCCCUGCUGCUCCCUCCUUCCUCUUCCUUCCUCUGUGCUCGGUGUAAUUGUCUUUCAUGUGGCUCUGCGUCCCUGUUACCUGCUCCCUGUUUUUCAUCCCUCGUUUGGCCUCGAGGUCCGACAAGCCAACCAAGCGCUCUGCGCCUCGGGCAGCCAUGACUAAUUCACAAGCAAGCAGUUUAACAGACGUGCAACAUCCCAUUACCACUGGAAGACCCCUACCUGUGCUACUACAGCUGACUCAUCUGAUCAGUAUGUAUCCCCAUCCUGCAGACUGUUCUUUCAUUAAACUCACUUCGCUUGUUUCUGGUUCACAAAUGGUUAAAAAGCCAUUCUCAGCAUCUCCAAACACUGAACGGGGUAUUUCACAAAGCUGUUUGGCACGGCUGUAGCCAACAGGCAAUGUGUUUAACAUGUCACGCUCCAAAAACUGCUGUUUAUUCCCCGCUUUGGGCGCCUGAAAUGCAAAUAGUGUGGCUUUUUUUUCCUUCUUCUUCUUCUUCUUCUCCUCUGUAGUGAAGAGGAGUCGCUUUUGUUUGAGUUUUUUCCUCAUGAUUUGUUUUCUUAAUUAUCUGGCUGACGUUCACCUCUUUGCGAGCUCCACUCUGUUCCUGCUGGACUGUGUUAGAGGUGCGCUAAGCAUCGAGCACUUCCAGUGGUGGAGAUAAAAUAUUCAGAGCGGAUAGAAGAGGCAUAGCUGUUGAAAAUCAAUGAUUCCCAAAGGUCUUGGAUGGUGCGCAACAAAGACAGGUUUAUGUGGAAGUGUGUGAACCGUGCGUGUGAUCAAAGGACGGAUGUUACCGCGACAAGGAUUUUAUUUCCCCACCUCACAGCCAAGUAUAUCAAUCUGGAAAACAAAACCACCAUAAUCCCCCCCCCCCCCCCCUUCAUCAUGUCUCGAGUCUUCGGCGCACCAAAGCAUCAAGGAGCUUCAUUUCUGUCUUCUCAACCAAUCUGCAUGUAUACAGUAAGAAAACCUGUGAGAGUAGCUUCAAAUCUAUUAUUUAUAAAUGUCUAUUUUACCUAUCGGCGAGUGAUGUCUUAUAGAAACUUUCAAAGCCAGAUGUCAGUUUGUGUUUGGCAACUUUUCUAAGCAGCUUUGAAACAUGAAACCCCUCUUACACAUCUCCUCCUCAGACACAUUAGUGCUGGUGGAAUCAUGCGUGGCUCGUGCAAUCCUCCAGAUAUCCAGUCUUGUGAUUUUUGAGUAGCAUUCCUGUAGAAAUGUGGUCUUUCUGUACCAUGGAAGUUCAAUAAAGACUCAACACUGGCGUUUUAGCUCUGCCGUCUAUCUGCUUCUUUCUGUGCAUGCUCAAUGAAUUCCCCUGGGAGCUGCAAUGCUUUAUGGGAAGGACACAAAGCUUACACUGUGCAUUUUAAUAGCUAACUCGUAAUCUUUUCCUCCCUGAAGUGAACAUUUAGUCCACUGGCAUUGAUUUUCGAAACCAUAGGCUUGGCAUUAAAAAGUCCUGCAAUGUGCCAAUCAUGUUUCUACCAGUGAGGAGCUGAAAAGGAGCCGAAGAAUAAGGCGGCGGCUGCUUGUGUCGGAAGCUUUCUCCUUAUCUCCUCACCUCAUAUGGAUUCCUCUUGCUUCACAAAGAUUAACAGGAUGCUAAGCAAGUAUUUCCUCUGUGUACAGUUUUUCAAACAAAUGUCAAUAAAAUCAAGGCGGGCGCCAGAGGACAAGUGCCACUCGUUUGUAUUGAGAUUCUCCACCACUCUGCUGCGGUUUCCAU
rnacentral:lncRNA from 1 species